AGACAUGUCAGUUUGUGAAACCGAAGUUGAAACCUGGGACCAAACCGCGACCGCAGGGUUAAGUGUUAAAAACUGUCACAGAGCUAAUAAAAUCGUAGCCCGCAGACUUACCACUAAUUAUUUUUUAAAGCAUGCAGUCAGUCGAUCUAUUACGUUUCGCAUGCUGUUUCGUUUUUUUUUAUUUAUGCAACAAUUUAUUUACUUUCAGCUUAUCAAACUGGGAGAAGGUCAACGGAGAAUUUGUAGAGCAGUGGUUUCAGCUUAAAGACGAAAUAAAUGGCGAGAAUAAUAGUUUUGCUUCUGUUAUCUUUGGCGAUUUUAUCGGUGGAUGGAAACGCAAUUGCGAACCGCACUGGCACAGGCUUGGUGAUGACUUACAUCUUUGAACCCUUGGUGUCAAUAAUAUAGACAGUGACAAAAUGACGGACGUUAUGAAAACUGAGGCCGUGCAGGUGUUGAAAAGAUUUAUCGACGAAGACUCCGAUAAUCCCUGCAAGGGGCUUAGGGAUUACUUCAUGGCGAAAUAUUCUGGAUAUAUUUGGAACUGCGUCGAAUAUAAAUCGUACGCUAUCCACAGAGAUGUGUCCAUCGACUUGAGGGUAGACGAUUUUAAGUACACCUUAUUUGGUAUCUCUUUAGCUUCACUUAAGACUUAGAUAUUUAUUUUAUUUUAUUUAGAUAAGUCAUAUUGUUUGUAUCAAUAAAAUUGCAACACUUGUUACAUCAUAAAAGCAAUUGCAGCAUGUGUGUGUUAACGCUCCAGGCAUUGGAAACGUGUACCUCAACAUAUGAUGAGUGAAUCACAUUUUCAUGUAUUAUUUGAUGAAAUUACACACACUCAUUCUGUC